ACUACGGGUGGCAGCAGUGGGGAAUAUUGUGCAAUGGGCGCAAGCCUGACCCAGCAACGCCGCGUGAAGGAAGAAGGCUUUCGGGUUGUAAACUUCUUUUCUCAGGGACGAAGAAAGUGACGGUACCUGAGGAAUAAGCCACGGCUAACUACGUGCCAGCAGCCGCGGUAAUACGUAGGUGGCAAGCGUUAUCCGGAUUUAUUGGGUGUAAAGGGCGUGUAGGCGGGAGCGCAAGUCAGAUGUGAAAACUCAGGGCUCAACCCUGAGCCUGCAUUUGAAACUGUGUUUCUUGAGUGCUGGAGAGGCAAUCGGAAUUCCGUGUGUAGCGGUGAAAUGCGUAGAUAUACGGAGGAACACCAGUGGCGAAGGCGGAUUGCUGGACAGUAACUGACGCUGAGGCGCGAAAGCGUGGGGAGCAAACAGGAUUAGAUACCCCUGUAGUC
rnacentral:rRNA from 1 species